rnacentral:rRNA from 1 species
UACGGGGGGGGCAAGCGUUGUUCGGAAUUACUGGGCGUAAAGGGCGCGUAGGCGGUGCUCUAAGUUAGAUGUGAAAACUCUGGGCUCAACCCAGAGCCUGCAUCUAAAACUGGAGUGCUAGAGUUCUGGAGGGGGUAGCGGAAUUCCUGGUGUAGCGGUGAAAUGCGUAGAGAUCAUGAGGAAGACCAGUGGCGAAGGCGGGUCUCUGGACAGUUCCUGACACUGAGACACGAAGGCCAGGGGAGCAAACGGG